AGAGUUUGAUCCUGGCUCAGGACGAACGCUGGCGGCGUGCUUAACACAUGCAAGUCGAACGAUGAAGCCCAGCUUGCUGGGUGGAUUAGUGGCGAACGGGUGAGUAACACGUGGGUGAUCUGCCCUGCACUUCGGGAUAAGCCUGGGAAACUGGGUCUAAUACCGGAUAGGACCUCGGGAUGCAUGUUCCGGGGUGGAAAGGUUUUCCGGUGCAGGAUGGGCCCGCGGCCUAUCAGCUUGUUGGUGGGGUAACGGCCCACCAAGGCGACGACGGGUAGCCGGCCUGAGAGGGCGACCGGCCACACUGGGACUGAGACACGGCCCAGACUCCUACGGGAGGCAGCAGUGGGGAAUAUUGCACAAUGGGCGCAAGCCUGAUGCAGCGACGCCGCGUGAGGGAUGACGGCCUUCGGGUUGUAAACCUC
rnacentral:rRNA from 1 species